GAGCAUGAGGUUUAUGCCCGAGUCCUAGAAUUCUACGGCCUUGUUGGUUCCUUCUAGGGAAGUCUCCAUUUACCCAAAACCAAAUUGUAUGAGAGAGAGAGAGAGAGAGAGCCUUAUGUCUCGCAAUUCUAUUGAAUCGUGCGCGACAGUGAUUGUGAUGGAGCGACGGUUCAGCCCUGAUGGGUAUUGGGCGGAUGUCAUGACCUCUUGAAAGGAAUAGCUUCAAAGCCAUCAUCUCCUUCGGCAUCAGAGGCGUGGGUUGACACUCACGGGGGGGAAUUCCUGAUAUCGUUGUUUUUUUCCAUAUGGGUCUCUCGUAAAGUUUCCCUUAUGGGGUUUUCUUGGUGGGAUUUUGAUAAUUUGGUUUCAGGCCUUCAGCUUGCAGCAGCUGUGUGAAACAAAAGAACGAAAAAAACUAGAUUUGAAGUUCUGAGUACGGCUGGGAAGGAGUUUCGUUUCAACCAAGUUACACAGACAAACUUAAGGCACCCAUUCAUCAUAUAGCCGAGAGAAUGAAUUUUACAUUGUUACAUUCAUAUCCACUGCAACAGAAAAAAUCUGCAUCUCACCAUCCACCCUCUUGGAAGACUUCAUUAAGUCAACAAAAAUAAAUAAAUAAAUAAAUAACAAACCAAUUACAUUGUUCCGAACAGGAACCAAUCUUAA